CCUACGGGAGGCAGCAGUGGGGAAUUUUGGACAAUGGGCGCAAGCCUGAUCCAGCAAUGCCGCGUGAGUGAAGAAGGCCUUCGGGUUGUAAAGCUCUUUUGUCAGGGAAGAAACGGUGGGAGCUAAUAUCUCCCACUAAUGACGGUACCUGAAGAAUAAGCACCGGCUAACUACGUGCCAGCAGCCGCGGUAAUACGUAGGGUGCAAGCGUUAAUCGGAAUUACUGGGCGUAAAGCGUGCGCAGGCGGUUUUGUAAGUCUGUCGUGAAAGCCCCGGGCUCAACCUGGGAAUUGCGAUGGAGACUGCAAGGCUUGAAUCUGGCAGAGGGGGGUAGAAUUCCACGUGUAGCAGUGAAAUGCGUAGAGAUGUGGAGGAACACCGAUGGCGAAGGCAGCCCCCUGGGUCAAGAUUGACGCUCAUGCACGAAAGCGUGGGGAGCAAACAGGAUUAGAUACCCUGGUAGUCCACGCCCUAAACGAUGUCUACUAGUUGUCGGGUUUUAAUUAACUUGGUAACGCAGCUAACGCGUGAAGUAGACCGCCUGGGGAGUACGGUCGCAAGAUUAAAACUCAAAAGGAAUUGACGG
rnacentral:rRNA from 1 species